CCUACGGGUGGCAGCAGUGGGGAAUAUUGGACAAUGGGCGAAAGCCUGAUCCAGCCAUGCCGCGUGUGUGAAGAAGGCCUUCGGGUUGUAAAGCACUUUCAGUGGGGAAGAAAGCCUUGGGGCUAAUACCCUCGAGGAAGGACAUCACCCACAGAAGAAGCACCGGCUAACUCCGUGCCAGCAGCCGCGGUAAUACGGAGGGUGCGAGCGUUAAUCAGAAUUACUGGGCGUAAAGCGCGCGUAGGCGGUCUGAUAAGCCGGUUGUGAAAGCCCCGGGCUCAACCUGGGAACGGCAUCCGGAACUGUCAGGCUAGAGUGCAGGAGAGGAAGGUAGAAUUCCCGGUGUAGCGGUGAAAUGCGUAGAGAUCGGGAGGAAUACCAGUGGCGAAGGCGGCCUUCUGGACUGACACUGACGCUGAGGUGCGAAAGCGUGGGUAGCAAACAGGAUUAGAUACCCGUGUAGUC
rnacentral:rRNA from 1 species